GGCUCCGUAGCUCAGCAGGAUAGAGCGUCGGUUUCCUAAACCGCAGGUCGGGGGUUCGAGUCCCUCCGGGGCCACCA
rnacentral:tRNA from 1 species